AUUGAACGCUGGCGGCAUGCCUUACACAUGCCAGUCGAACGGCAGCACGGGAGAACCUGGUGGCGAGUGGCGAACGGGUGAGUAAUGCAUCGGAACGUACCUUUCAGUGGGGGAUAACGUAGCGAAAGUUACGCUAAUACCGCAUAUUCUGUGAGCAGGAAAGCAGGGGAUCGCAAGACCUUGCGCUGAUUGAGCGGCCGAUGGCAGAUUAGCUAGUUGGUGAGGUAAAGGCCCACCAAGGCGACGAUCUGUAGCGGGUCUGAGAGGGUGAGCCACAGCACUGGAACUAAGAUACGAGCCAGACUCCUACGGACGGCGGCAUUUGGUACAUUUGGACAAUGGCGGGAACCUUGAUACAGCCAUACCGCGUGCAUGAAGAAGGCCUUCUGUUUGUAAAGCUCUUUCCGCCGGGAAGAAAUCGCACGAGCUAAUACACUGUGUGGAUGACGGUACCGGAAUCAGAUGCACCGGCUAACUACGUGCCAGCCGCCUCAGUAAAAC
rnacentral:rRNA from 1 species